AUAACAAAGAGCAAAAUAUCAAGCAUUAGCAAAACGAAGCAGAACACACAAAGCCCAUGAAAGAAAAGGAUGAAAAUUUGCGAAAUUUAUUACACAUACCACAAUAGUAUCGCUUUCAUCGCUGUUCUUGGGGUCAACAACAUAGGUGACGCUAUCACCUUCCAUGCCCAUCACGCGCUUGGUCACUACCUUUCUAGGAUUGACAGGGGACUGCACAAGAACGAUAUCACCUGGACCCACCUUGCCAAUCCGAGGCGAG
rnacentral:misc_RNA from 1 species